GAUAAAGAUAAAGCUAAAGUAUCUCAAAUGUGAAGUGCAACAGCAAAGUUUUCGUUUCUCACUUUGCAUAAAUUUGUUUUGUGUGUUGUGUGUGUUUUU